rnacentral:rRNA from 1 species
UACGAAGGACCCGAGCGUUAUCCGGAUUUAUUGGGUUUAAAGGGUGCGUAGGCGGAUUUAUAAGUCAGUGGUGAAAGCCUAUGGCUUAACUAUAGAAUUGCCAUUGAUACUGUAGGUCUUGAGUACAGUUGAGGUGGGCGGAAUGUGCAGUGUAGCGGUGAAAUGCUUAGAUAUUGCACAGAACACCAAUUGCGAAGGCAGCUCGCUAAGCUGUAACUGACGCUGAGGCACGAAAGUGUGGGUAGCAAACAGG